GGGACAGUAGGUUGGUCGUGCCACCGGUACGUACUGGUCUCACUGAUUCCUCCUUCCUGAAGAACCGUAAUGCCAUUAAUUUGGUGUUGCGGGGAAACAGGACUGUUACUUUGAAAAAUUUAGAGUGUUUAAAGCAAGCUAACGCUUGAAUACAUUAGCAUGGAAUAAUGAAAUAGGACGAUCGAUCCUAUUUUGUUGGUUUCUAGGAUUGACGUA
rnacentral:rRNA from 1 species